AUACGUAGGGGGCGAGCGUUGUCCGGAAUGAUUGGGCGUAAAGGGCGCGUAGGCGGCCCGGUAAGUCUGGAGUGAAAGUCCUGUUUUUAAGAUGGGAAUUGCUUUGGAUACUGUCGGGCUUGAGUGCAGGAGAGGUAAGUGGAAUUCCCAGUGUAGCGGUGAAAUGCGUAGAGAUUGGUAGGAACACCAGUGGCGAAGGCGACUUACUGGACUGUAACGGACGCUGAGGCGCGAAAGUGGGGGGAGCAAACAGGAUUAGAAGCCCUGGUAGUCCACGCUGAAAACGAUGAUUACUAGGUGUGGGGGGACUUACCCCUUCCGUGCCGCAGGUAACACAAUAAGUAAUCCGCCUGGGGAGUACGGCCGCAAGGUUGAAACUCAAAGGAAUUGACGGGG
rnacentral:rRNA from 1 species